CAGUAGCCGCGGUAAUACGUAGGUGGCAAGCGUUGUCCGGAAUUAUUGGGCGUAAAGGGCUCGCAGGCGGUUUCUUAAGUCUGAUGUGAAAGCCCCCGGCUCAACCGGGGAGGGUCAUUGGAAACUGGGAAACUUGAGUGCAGAAGAGGAGAGUGGAAUUCCACGUGUAGCGGUGAAAUGCGUAGAGAUGUGGAGGAACACCAGUGGCGAAGGCGACUCUCUGGUCUGUAACUGACGCUGAGGAACGAAAGCGUGGGGAGCGAACAGGAUUAGAUACCCGGGUAGUCCCUGUCUCUUAUAA
rnacentral:rRNA from 1 species